CAGCUCGUUUUCAAUAUUGCGACU
rnacentral:miRNA from 1 species